CUGGAGUCCAGAGCUCUUUAGGAGGUGGAUUUCAGAUUGGACUUGGUGACUGAAUGGAGGUGGGGGUCUUGGGGAACUGACUCUUUUGCUAUCUGGAAACCCAUGUCCACCUCUGACUUCCACUCAAAAUUGCUUUCCUCACAGUCUGACUGCGAGAGUUGUGAAAAAUUGGGAUGUGCUUCUGAGGUGGGCUGUGGAAUGCCA
rnacentral:lncRNA from 1 species